UGUCUUGUUAUUGAUUGCAUUUUCUUUGUUAUGUUUUGCUUUGUUUUACCGUUGAAAGUAACUGAAUAUUUCUUGUACCCUGGUAUUUAGACUUACACAGAGUAUUGGAAUGCUAUCCAGCACAUUUUUUAGGAGUACUCGGAAGGAAGAUAUUGUAGUUCCUAUGGUAAGAAUAGUUUUAGGUAUUGUUGUUGCAUACUUCUUAAAUGCUUUUGAAUUGUGUUCAAAAUUCUUUUCCAGCAGGCUUAUUGCUAUAUUUAUGUUGAAUGAAAGUAAAUUGACUGGAUAAUCAUUUAGGGGUGGCUAUGGGCCAGGUUUGGGCCAUGUCAAGGUCAGCCAGAAUCUAACCUAUUUACUAAUUGAGCCAAAAUCAGACUUCACAUACAUUAUUUUAAUGCAAGCCGAGGAUAAACAUCUUAUGCUAGAAGUAAGAUUCAUUUUUCUCUACUUGUUACUUUAUUAAAAGCAUGCCACUAUUUUUCUCUACAGUCCAAUCUGUUGAUAUGAUGGACUCCCUGUAGAUGGGAGAUGCACCAAAAAUUUGCCAAAUUGGAGGAUCCUAACAAUUAUUCUUAAGAGCAGUAACAACCCAUGUUCCGAGAUUUGUUUUGGGAGAUGAGUGUUUGAUGAUGCAGGCUGAAGUGUAUCAUUCGUACAUGGAAGUGUUACGUGGAUAUGAGAUUUUUAAUGCAGAUGGAGAUAUGUGGAGGAAGCAAAGAAAGACUGCAAGCUUGGAGUUCGCAUCAAAGAACUUGAGAGAUUCCAGUACUCUUGUAUUUAGAGACUAUGCCCUCAAGCUAUCAACUAUCUUAUGCCAAGCUUUUAUACAAAACCAACAAGUAGGCGUGCAGGAUGUCCAGGUAGUGCAAAAAGGUGGGCCCAAUCAGGAUGAGCACUUGGCCUGAAAAUUGAACAGGUCGACUCAGCGAGGAGGGCGACAACCAAUGAUCUGACCCAACAUACAGCUGUUGCCCAAUUGAUGUGUGGAUACACCUGUUUUUCAUGGUGGAAUCCACAUUUUGCAAGAAAGAAUUGGAUGUUCUACGCAUGUGCAAUUCCCACCGGCAACGGUAUAUCAUGCUAAAUUAGCUUUCUGUGCAGUUUUUGGUCUUAUACAAAAAAACUUUUGGUCUUAUAUAAAAAGUUUCAGGAUGACAAAUAGCCAACAUUUGGCAACAAGGACUUUUCCUCAAUUAUUGGCUUGCCGAUGUGCAAGUUAUAGAUUGGAGCCUUUUGUUGUUGUUGUAUAAUUUUUGUGAUGAUAGAAUUAGAGUUUCGUGCUUGGCAGAGAAAGGGUUAAGCAGAGGCUGGCACUUUAUCAUGGGGUGUUGCCCAUAUAUAUGUAGUUCUCCAAUGAUGCAGAAGAGACGUUCUCUUGAGCUCUGAAUCUCCUGCUGAGCCGAGGUUUGUUGAAGGAGGGAGAGCAUGUUACUCUUGUCCAAAGCUACAAUGCUCAGUUACUGCUGUUGAUGAUUACUACUGAAUAUUUUGGCCAGGCAUUGGUGAAAAAUGCAACAGAUGUUAUUCUGAAUAUUCCACAGGGUUGGCACUAGGCAGAACAUGCUAAAAUGCCAUUUGCUUAAACUUCGGUUUUGCAAGA